CGGACACUAGCGUCGCACACGCAUGUUGUUCAGGUUGUUGAGUAAGGACCGGUGUAAGGGGGACGCUGAAGGAUAUGUGGUUAACGCACUAUGCUACAAGAUGAAAGGUCGUGGUUUUGAUUUCCGAUGAGUUGGAGGUGAGUGGUCAGCUUGGCGCCCCAGUACCAGUCUGAAUGAUGUGAAGAAGAGAAAAAUUUUGCCCAUACCAGGACUUGAACUCUGGCCCCUUGGCUAUGUAGCCUGUAGCCUGUCACUAUACUGACUGUGCUAUCCCAGCUCCCCUUUUACUUUUCAGCACUUAACCUAAAUAAGCUUAAUACAUUGUGAGAAUGCUCAAUAGUCCCUUUGAGGGAGAACUUAUGCUUUUAAACAUUCCUGAGAAACUGCCCCUCAGUAGUUAGAAAUCCUACUAAUACUGUAUUUACUCCCAUGUUCACCUUUGAUUCAGGAUCUUCCACAGCCUUUGUCACACAGUGCUUGAUGUUCCAUGAAGCUACUAGAAUUUCGUGAUUCCACUGUUAAGAAAAUUCUUCAUAAGACAUUCAUUUAUUAUUCAGGAAGACGAUUAUGUUGUGUUCAAAAAUUUGAAUAGCUCUUAGGUCACUGUUAUGCAUAUCUUUCUCUUUCAUUUGCAACUUAUAAUUCUUAAAAUUCAGUUAACCAAUUUAAGUAAAUUGACAGUUUAAUGUGUUUUAUGAUGUGUAAAUUAUUACAUGCAAACAGACAGUUCUGUGUAAAAAAAUAUGUUUUAUGUAUUUUCCACGAUAGGUGAUUGAUUUAAAACAACUCUGCACAUCAAGGAUGAAUAGCCUUGUAGUUAACAUUUUUUUCUGUAUUCACCUCUGAUAUCUGGCCAUCGAAGUUUUCAUAAUAUGUAGGUUUGAUAUAGAGUGUAUUUGAAUAACUGAAUAUAAGAAUUGCAAGAAGCAUCAUGUAUUUUGACAACAGCCCAUAUUCCAGUACAUGUUCAGUAAGAGAAAUAAAUAUCACAUCCAAAUCAGGGGAAAGAAUAAAGAGCAUGAGUGCCUGCCUUUUGACCAACUUGCAUUAAAUUCACCCUGGAUGUCUGUCACCUUUCUGAUGGGCAUGUCACUGUGCCAGUGGUGAAAUGCACAACUCUUUCAGCAGCUGUGUGGUCCUGUAUUGGAGAGCACUAAAAUACUGAUGAUGUUAAAAAAAUACAGGGGGACAAUACAUCAGCCACCGUAGACUUGAAAAAAGCCUAUGAUUCACCUAGGAGAGAGGUACUGUACAACAUUCUCACAGAAUUCAGUAUACUGCAAAAUUAGCAAGGCUGAUUGAAAUGUUAAACAAAACUGAUACUACAGUCAGUAAAUAUCCCAUGUGACUGUGAGGCCAUAGCUUAUUUAAGAUUUCGUCACCUGGGCCAGUCCUUCAUGGAACC